AUCUCCUAUUCAGUCUUCGUCUAGCAUUCGUGCGGAAUGUUUGUGUUUACGGUGUUGGCGGUUAAUAUUAGUUCAAACUCAAAAAAGUUGAAACGUGUGUAACUUUAUGUUAUAAUAUGAUGGCCCUAGUGGCCACUAAUUUAAACGACAAUAAAUCGCUCCUCUACAAACCGCAAAAAACUGGGUCACAUGCAACAGCAUUUUACUGUGCUAAUUGCUUGGGCGAACAUGCUGAUUUAUCCAACACGUGCCCUCAAGUGCUAUAAAUAAGACCACAAGAAAAAUGCACUAUUCGAAAAGCGUGCAAAUUUUAUAACACCCGCAAGCCACUAACAGUGCCAAUAUAAAGGAUUUUCCAGGAAGAGUGAUACGAUUUAUUUAAAAAAAAGCAACAUACUAAUUGUUAAGGAAUGAAUUCGAUGAACCCAACUUUUGGAUCAAUUCUAUAUCUAUAGCACUCUCCAUUGACAGUUACGGUGCUACCAGGUUCAAUUCGAGGAUUUGAUUUGAGGAUUUUCUUCGCACCAAAAUCAACAUUUUUAUUUAUUUACCGCACUGAUCACUUGAAAGGAAGCCUAAUCGGAGGAACUGAACAAUUAACCUGGUGCAAGUGCAAAUUAUUAUACUCCAGCUCUGCUAAUCUCGUUCCACAAAAACUUCAAUUCUCCAAAUCUUCACACCGCCAUCAUUAGUUCAACAAAAACCACCACCACAUCAAUGGAAGCAUAAACUCAACAUUUAUUCUUUUCGCUCUUAAAAUACACUAAAACUUCGCCGCCAAGAAUAAGUAAAUCAUAUUUUAUAUUCAACUAUCACAUCGAAGACUCUAUUAUAAUUUAUUAUAUAUUUAUACAUAUUUAUUAUUUCGAACGUAUAUAUUCGGCUACACUAUAAUUUUAUCGUAUAAUAUCAUAGUGCACAACUUUUGCUAGAUAAAAAUAUCGGUUCGCUGAUAGUAGGUAGCUGGUUACCCUCUUUAAGCUUAUGUCCCAGCAGAAGCUAUCACCAUUUUAAACGCUUUCGAAAAAUUUUUCAACGUCAACCCAAUAAUCGGUCAAAUGCGAGAUCUGUUAACAAAAAAUCGGGAAAAACUAAAGACCGCUUGGACUCGUAGUCAAAAAGGUAUCUACGGAAACGAAUUAGCCGACGUUGAAGCCAAACACGCCUACACUGCCUUCAAUGCCAAAGGCGAAAAAUUUAUCUUUCUUCCCUCCCUCUCGAAAGACCGCUACUUUCAUUCGCCUUAAAAUAGGCCACUUCAAAUUAUUCAAUUAACAUCUGCUCAAUCGGAAUCCACCCCCUGACCUUUUAUAAUAAUCCCUUAACCCUGCUAUAUAUCCUUGACUUCUAUCCGAAAAAUAUCUUUCGAACACAAUCUCAUUUUUCGCUCUAUAACAACCUCAACCCUCUUUAAACAUAAAUUAUGAAACCUGUAAAAUUCUUGAUUUAAAAAAAUGACAUCGACUGAGGGCUUAGCAGCUAGUGCGCUAAAUACUUCAAUCAUGCUCCAGGGAAUAUGCCCACUCCAAUGUGUAUUGCCUUAUGUUUUAAAAAAUAUAACCCACGCAGUCAGUAACAAUAUCAUCCAAUAGUAAAAUAAUGACAUUUUCGUGGGUUAUCAACUUGAUUGUCUCUAAGGAGAUUCUCGAAGUAAGUACUGGCAGCUGAUAAUACCAAACGGUAUUCAUUGAUUAUUGAACUUUUGAAUAAAUCCAAUUCCAUUGAAAUAUAAGAAAUAUUUACAUACAUGUAUGUAUGUAUUUACUAACAAAGCGAUUAGAUUAUAAGCCUUGAAUGUGAGGUCAACCAUUAUCUGCUCAUCGUAAAAUUGCCGAAGUCCACUUAGAAGAUUUUCCGUAAAUUUGGAACCAUCCUCUGCUGGGGUUGAUGAUACCCUGCUGCUUGCCAUUUGUAUUGAGAUAAAUUUAUGAUUUAUAAACUGAAGAAUGACAUCGGCUGAAAAUAUGAAAGAGUAUAUGUGUUAGACCAAGUAAAAGUUUCGUUCGUUUUUUUUUAUUGAUAUUUCAAAAUUUGAUAACUUUGUGUACAUAUGACUGACUGUUGCCAACGGGAUGCCAACUUCAUUACACCCCUCGUAGAAGGCUGCGUCCCUAUUGACAAAAAACUCGGAUAGCCAAUUUUCACAGGCCUCUCUUGAGGCCAACUUCUCACCAUUAAUAUGUAUCAUAUAAAUUAGAUUAAUCAAUGUGGAAAAAUUUGAAAAAUAUGUUCGAAAACUUGGUGUAAGAGUCUUUGAAGAAACAAAAUGUUAAAUUUAUAAGCAUAAAUCAUUUAAAUGUUGAAAGCUUACCGAAUAAUUUAAAUGUAUAAAGCAUAAGUAUAUGUAUUUAUUUAAGACGCUUGUCAAAAUAUAUGUAUAAGUAUGUAUAUCCGUAAAGAAAUGAAUGGCGCAAUGUUGUAAAUUCGGCUAUUAUCGCAUAAGGGUUGUGUAAUCCAGUAGUGUAGGUAUAUAUAUCAAUACAAUCUGCAUACAUAUGUAUGUAUUGUUUAAUUAGAUUAAGCUCUAUUAUUUCAAAUCUACGCCUAAAUUAGAAAUAAAUAAGCAUGUACAAUAAUGGUUACAUAAAGUAAAAUAUGUAUAUUGGUAUACAUAUAUUUUAAUACAUAAAAAUAAAUAUAUUAGUCAAAUUAUAAUAUGUACUCCGAAAUAAACUCAAUUUUGCCUUUAA